UGCCACCAGGCCAUGCACGUAUCUAUGGACUGCCAGGAGGGCAGAGUAAGCUCACUCCAGUGGACCCUCCCUGGAUUCCCCAAGGACAAAGAAAUGGCUGCGUCUUGACGGUUGGGUUCUUAUGACUCCCACCUGUCUGUCUGGGCCACCUUUCGUUGUAUGGUCGAGGUGGUUCUUGAUUAGAAAUUC